rnacentral:rRNA from 1 species
AACGAACGCUGGCGGCAUGCCUAACACAUGCAAGUCGAACGAAGGCUUCGGCCUUAGUGGCGCACGGGUGCGUAACGCGUGGGAAUCUGCCCUUUGGUUCGGAAUAACAGCUGGAAACGGCUGCUAAUACCGGAUGAUGACGAAAGUCCAAAGAUUUAUCGCCAGAGGAUGAGCCCGCGUUGGAUUAGGUAGUUGGUGGGGUAAAGGCCUACCAAGCCGACGAUCCAUAGCUGGUCUGAGAGGAUGAUCAGCCACACUGGGACUGAGACACGGCCCAGACUCCUACGGGAGGCAGCAGUGGGGAAUAUUGGACAAUGGGCGCAAGCCUGAUCCAGCAAUGCCGCGUGAGUGAUGAAGGCCCUAGGGUUGUAAAGCUCUUUUACCCGGGAAGAUAAUGACUGUACCGGGAGAAUAAGCCCCGGCUAACCCCGUG